rnacentral:lncRNA from 1 species
UGAAGUUUGAGUCUUUGCUUGCCCUUUUCCCGGAGACACCCCAAAUAUUAUUAUUAUUAUUACUAUUAUUAUUAUUUCUUUCUUUCUCCAUCUAAAGUCUGCAAUAGCAAACUCCAGUCUCCUCCACUGCCAAAUCUUUCUUCCUUCUUCUUUUGCCUUAAUUCACCAUGCAAAACAUUUUCCACUUCUAGCUACCUAGACCAACAAACAACCCACCAUACAGAUCACACAGAUCCAUCCAUCUUUGAUUAAUUUGAUCUUUCCACCCCAUCCAAUCCCAUAUGGAUUUCUCAGCUGACUUGCAGGUGAUGACGUCAACUCCUCCUCAACCUCCAACUCCAACAACAAU